CAAGGCCAAGCUGGUUAUCUUCCCAAGGCGUGCUCGCAAGGUCAAGGUAUGGCCACUUUUCUUUUCCUGAAUGUGUCAUCUCUUCAAAACAUUGUCCAAAUUUCUUUCAGCCUCUAAUCCUUGGUCACCUACCUUCAUGGCAGGCUGGUGACUCAACUCCGGAGGAGCUUGCCACUGCCACCCAGGUCCAGGGUGACUACAUGCCUAUUACUCGUGGUGAGAAGCGCUCAGUUGAGGUUGUGAAGGUUACCGAUGAGAUGAAGACGUUCGCAGCCUAUGGCAAGCUACGCCUUGAGCGGAUGAACAAGAAGCACCUUGGUGCCCGCCAGAAGAAGGCUGCUGAGGCAGAGAAGGAAGAGAAGAAGUGAAGUGACCGGAUAUAGUACCCUGUUUGUUACAUUCCAGUCUUGUAGUG
rnacentral:lncRNA from 1 species